CGUCAAGAUCCUGUCCAUCCUUCAAGUCCUGUGAGCCUCUUCUGGUUGCCAUCAUUUCCUCCUCUCUGCUGCCAGUAGACAGAUGGUGUGUUCUCCACUCCCUUGUAUCUGAAUACUUGUGUUUUUGUCUGUAUCUCUACGAGAUUGUAAGUUCCUUGAGGAAUAGGGAAGGACCAUAGUUCAUCAAUUCUUAUAUCUCCAGAAUGUCUCCAAGAUGGACAUAGACAUGGAUGGGAUCCUGAAAGACAGAAUCCUCAACCUGUCAGUUUAGCCCUACUGGUUUUGAGGUAGAAAAGCAUGGGGAACAUGGCCAGGUAAUAGUACACUAUUGAUUACAACAAGGUGUUGGCCAAACCCCCAUGUGAAAUCCAUAGCCUGGUGAGCUGGCUUCAUUUGUGUGAAUCACAGUUUCUUUGCUUACAGAAAUGCUCAGGGACUCGACUAAAAACUGGCUUCCUUGAUCCUUUUCUCUGAGGCCCACAGCCAAGCCUUGACCACACUGUGUGGAGGAGAGCUGUGGCCUGUCUCAUGGAUGACUCCGUGGGAGUAUUUUCCCUGGAUCUGGGGCUUUUUCACAUGCUUGGGAAGUCACUGUGUGAGAAGAGCUGAGCACACAGAGCUCUGCACUCCCCUGUGGGGCUGGAAGGGCAGGUGGGAGCCACAGCCGGCUGGGGGCCGUGAGCCUGACUGUGCAGACUCUGCUGUCAGUGAGGGCAUGGAAUCCUGAAGGCAAAGGGUAUUCAAGUGUGUGUGUUUUGGGGUUGAAGAGUGAGAGAAUCAUUAUUGUUACGUGAAUUAUUCUGAA
rnacentral:lncRNA from 1 species